CCGCGCUAAGCGGGGAGUUAGCGGUGCCCUGAACCUGCGAUCCGCUACAGCAGGGCCGAAUCCCCGCCUUGAGGUACGCCUUUGUGGGGCAGCCUCUGUUAAGGAGCAUUGAUACCCGGGUCCCGUGCAACCAGCCUCUGUGAACCAUGUCAGGGCCGGAAGGCAGCAGCAUUAAACGGCUGAGCGGGUGUGCCGCGGGGCUGCCCGGGAGUAGCCACCUGACAGAACAGCGCCCAUGGGGAGCGUUAUCGAGGGGCGGGUGCGCG
rnacentral:SRP_RNA from 1 species